rnacentral:rRNA from 1 species
GUCUUCCUUUUCGUUGACCUUUCUCACAUACAACACACCUGUGCACCUAUUGUAGGUCCUCGGAAGAGGAUCUAUGUUUUUUUCACAUCACACACCGUCGUAUGUCUAUAGAAUGUAUUGAAGACUGUCCUAUGAUGGGUCGAUAAUAAAUCAUACAACUUUCAGCAACGGAUCUCUUGGCUCUCGCAUCGAUGAAGAACGCAGCGAAUUGCGAUAAGUAAUGUGAAUUGCAGAUUUUCAGUGAAUCAUCGAAUCUUUGAACGCACCUUGCGCUCCUUGGUAUUCCGAGGAGCAUGCCUGUUUGAGUGUCAUUUGAAUUUCUCAAACCCAUGUCUUUUUAGGACACAGGUUUGGAGUUGGGAGCUGCUGGUGGCGAAAAGCUGUCGGCUCUCCUGAAAUGCAUUAGCAAAGGACGGCAAGUCUUUGACGUGCACGGCCUUCGACGUGAUAAUGAUCGUCGUGGCUGGAGCGUCGGACAUGCAUGAAUCGUCUGUGCUGCUUCUAAUCCUACUAG